rnacentral:rRNA from 1 species
CUCCUUUGACGUUAGCGGCGGACGGGUGAGUAACACGUGGGUAACCUACCUAUAAGACUGGGAUAACUUCGGGAAACCGGAGCUAAUACCGGAUAAUAUUUCGAACCGCAUGGUUCGAUAGUGAAAGGUGGUUUUGCUAUCACUUAUAGAUGGACCCGCGCCGUAUUAGCUAGUUGGUAAGGUAACGGCUUACCAAGGCGACGAUACGUAGCCGACCUGAGAGGGUGAUCGGCCACACUGGAACUUAGACACGGUCCAGACUCCUACGGGAGGCAGCAGGG